GGGGAAAUAGCUCAGUUGGUUAGAGUGCUGGUCUGUCACGCCAGAAGUCGCGGGUUCUAACCCCGUUUUCCCCG
rnacentral:tRNA from 1 species